rnacentral:lncRNA from 1 species
GUAUCCAGGGUGAGGCCCAGCUUACAGAGUCUGGGGGAGACUUGGUACACUUAGAGGGGCCCCUGAGGCUCUCCUGUGCAGCCUCUUGGUUCACCUUCAGUAUCUAUGAGAUUCACUGGGUUUGCCAGGCCUCAGGGAAGGGGCUGGAAUGGGUUGCAGUUAUAUGGCGUGGUGAAAGUCAUCAAUACAAUGCAGACUAUGUUAGGGGCAGACUCACCACUUCCAGAGACAACACCAAGUACAUGCUGUACAUGCAAAUGAUCAGCCUGAGAACCCAGAACAUGGCAGCAUUUAACUGUGCA